GAUAUUUCCAUUCAUUCUCUUUCGUUAAACCCUAAAGUUUUCCCUUAGGGUUUUAUAGCUGUCUACUCCUCCCAGCUGCUUUUUUUCCCCCACAACUUGUAAUGGGUAAAUCUAUCAAGAAGUCCGCCACCAAGGCUGAUGCUGCUGUAGUUGCUCCAACCAAAUCCAUGAAGAAAGGGAAGAGAGAAGCUGAGGAUGAAAUUGCCAAGUUGGUGAGUGCAAAGAAGCAGAAGAAAGAUGUGGCUGUAGCACAAGCUGUUGAGAAAAAGAAAAGUGAUCUCAAAACUCAGAAGAAGAAGAAGCCAGUAAGCAGUUCCUCUGACGAUAGCUCCUCUGAGUCGGAGUCUGAGGACGACAAGCCACUGGUGCCUCCUAAGAAAGUGGCUCCUGCCAAAAAGGGAAAGGUAGCCAGCAGUUCUGAUGACUCAGAUUCUUCAGAUGAGGAUGAAGCUCCUGCUAAGAAAGUUGUUGUAGCUUCAACUAAGAAUGGCGUUGCUGCUAAGAAGAAAGAUGAGUCAAGUGAUGAUUCGGAUGAUAGCAGCUCUGAGGAAGAUGUGCCUGCACCCAAGAAACCUCCUACUAAUGGCGCUAAGAAAGACAAGUCAAGUGAUGAUUCUGAUGAUAGCAGCUCUGAGGAUGAUGCUGUUGUUAAGAAGGCACCUGCUGUUGUUAAGAAGGCGCCUGCUGCUGCCUCUAAAAAGCAAGAAUCCAGCUCUGAUUCCAGUGAUGACUCCAGUUCAGAUGAUGAUGAUGAACCUCCCUCUAAGGUAGUUGCUCAACCUAAAAAGGCUCCUCAAGCUGUGAAGAAGACUGGUGACAGCUCUGAUGACUCUGAUGAUUCUGAAUCUGAUUCUGAUUCAGACAAGGGAAAGGCUGCUACUGUAGCUAAAAAGACUGCUGCUGUAUCUAAAAAGGUUGCUUCAUCUGAUGAUGACAGUGAGGAUGAUAGUUCCGAGGAGAGUGAUGAAGAGCCUCAAAAGAAAAAGAGCAAGCCCUCGACCACACCAGCCGUCUCAAAAGCUCCAGAAAAGAGUAGCUCUGAGGAAUCUUCUGACUCAGACGACUCCUCUGAAGAUGAAGAGGAUGACAAACCAUCCAAAACUCCCAAGAAGGGUGCUGAUGUAGAAAUGGUUGAUGCUCCUUCUGCUAAAGCUCAACAAACCCCUAUUACUCCUAAAGCCCAAACCCCAGGGGGAUCGAAAACAUUGUUUGUUGGAAAUCUAUCCUAUUCAGUGGAACAGGCGGAUGUGGAGAAUUUCUUCAAAGAUGCUGGAGAAGUUCAGGAAGUGCGCUUUGCUACACAUGAGGAUGGUUCAUUUAAGGGCUUUGGUCAUGUUGAGUUUGUUACUGCUGAAGCUGCGCAUAAGGCACUUGAACUUAAUGGGCAUGAUCUUUUGGGCCGUGAUGUGAGGUUGGACCUGGCUCGUGAGAGGGGAGAGUAUACACCUCGCAGUGGGAAUGAGAACUCAUUCCAGAGGCCGGCUAGAAGUGAGGGAACAACAAUUUUUGUCAGGGGCUUUGACAAAAAUGAGGCUGAAGAUCAGAUUAGGAGUUCACUGGAGGAGCACUUUGCAUCUUGUGGGAAGAUCUUUAAAACAAGAAUUCCUACAGACCCAGAAGGCUAUAUUAAAGGGAUGGCUUAUAUUGAGUUUGCAAAUGGAGAUGCUGAUGCUCUAAACAAAGCUCUGGAGCUUGAUGGAUCAGAAGUUGGAGGGUUUAGCUUGAAUGUGCAAGAAGCAAAACCAAGGGGUGACAGUGCAGGUGGAGGAGGCAGAGGUUUUGGUGGUAGAAGUGGUGGUAGGGGUGGAGGUAGAGAUAGUGGUGGUAGAUUUGGUGGUCGUGGUGGUGGAGGCCGCUUUGGAGGUGGAGGCCGCUUUGGUGGCGGUGGACGCGGUGGAGGUGGUGGACGUUUUGGCGGUGGAGGCAGAGGACGAGGAAAUGCCAACAAGCCAAGCUUCACUCCAUCUGGUAAGAAGACUACCUUUAGUGACGAGUAACUUGGUCGCUAUUGGCCAACUUAUCUAAAUCUCGUGGACGUUUUAUCUUAUUUUAAAAAUAUUAUAAAUUUUGUUAGCAAGAACUUUAGUAGUUAGUAGACAAAUGGGAUAAUUUUGUUUCUUUUGAGUUCAUGUACCAUUCUUUGUGGGUGGAAAAUGAGAGUUUGUUCAAUGUUGAUAUCCAGUGUUUGUGGUAUCUAUCUCUUAUAUAAUUGCUUCAUAUGACAAGUUAUUUUUCUUCUCCCUUGUUAAUGUUAUUGAUGUAGGUGGAAUACCCCACCCAGCUCAAACAUCAAUGUAAAUUUCCUCUUGUUUAU
rnacentral:misc_RNA from 1 species